rnacentral:lncRNA from 1 species
CAAAAUUUAAAAUUGAAAGCUAGAAAAAUAAGAAUAAGGUCUGUGUAAAAAGAGUAGUAAAAAAUAGUAACAGAAGUUGUUUGAUGAGUUUUUAUCGGUAGUCUGUUUCAGAUUUUUGGCGCAUAAAAACAGAAAACUGCUUCUCCACUCUUUUUGAGUUUCAUACAGGGCAUCUGGAGGAGUCUUUCUGUUCAUGAUCUUAAGCCACGAUUUGGAACAUGUUCAAUCAAAGUUUCAGAGAUGUGUGAAGGUGCUAAACUUAUCUUAAACUUGAUUCUAAAAGAAACAUUUGGCCAAUGGAGGAGCUAAAAUUGGUUUAAUAUAGUUGUGUUUUUUAGUACGUGUCCAUAUUCUGUAUACUACAAACUACUGAAACACAACAUUAGCUAUAAGUAAUCAGACCUGUUGUUCAGAAAGCUGUACAAUACUGUACAAGAAACCCAUAGCAUACUCAUCUACUGUAUGUCCAGUAUAAAGGAAGCUAAUUCUUACUAAAUAAUAAUAAUUUACCUACAGAUUCACUCAAACUGUCAUAUCUGAUCCCUGUGAGGAAACCUGAAAAGCAUGCCACCUUCUUCACGUUGCCCUGCUUCUUUUGCAUGAAAAGUGUCGUUCUGCACUACUGUAAAAAAGUAUUCACUUUUUUAUUGCUCCUCUUGCAUCUCUUAUAUCCUCCUCUCGCUCUGGCUUUCAGUGUCUGAAGUGUCCUGCAGUAGAGAAGAUGCUCUGAGAGUUAGUAUCCAAUGCUAGAAUAGUGAGAGAGUUUCGGAUUUCCCACUGAAACCCCCGGCCAUGUGCAUGAGUGCAUGUAUUAACCCCGCAGUGUUUCUCACACACAAUUUAGGGGGCCGAUUGGAACCCCAAGGAUCAGUUUCUCCAAAUCACCGGCCUUCUCCCGGGACGGCUAGCCCCAAUCCCCCGGUCAGAAGCCCGUCUGCCCUCAGCGCAGAGCCUCCUCGCCCUGCAGAAGACGACAGCAGUGUCUUGAUGGAGCCACCGCCGCAGAUUCAACCCGCCAAGCCUCUGCCUCCAAAGCGUCGAAAUUCAAAAACCAAAAAGCAGGCCAGGUCUCCAGAUCCCGCAGUGACGAGCCAGCCUCUGAGCCAGAACCCAGCGGAGAUCCCAGCUCCUGCAGCGGCAUCGGGCCAAAAACAUGCUACCAGCCAACCUGCCUCUGACCAACCACAGACAACAGUGGAGAAACCAGAGCAUCAGGCCCACCCACCACUAAAUAAGUCCCCAUCUCUGUCCAGCACAUUCAGCCUGAGGGACAAGUCCUUCUUCCGCUCGGCUGGUGAGGAGGGGGUCAGAGCCGAGGCCAUCCGGAGCCUGCGGGAGUCCUUCUCCAGUCUCUUCUCUGAUUAAACAGAAAACCCUGGAACAGUGCAGCACAAAACCUUACACUACCUUUCAUCUCACACUGUCUCUGCUGUGUUCCACAUUUCUGUACACUAUAGGGGUUAAAAAGAAGAAAACGACAGGCUUAUAUAAUUUAAAUCUGGUCUUUAACCAAGUGAAGAUGCUAGGUAACCUUUAAAUGGAUUUGCUGGUGGUUAAAAUUAAAAGAUCAUACAAAGUCCAAAAUGAAACUACUACAUCCACAAAUCAGAAAAAGUUGGGACGGUAUAGAAGAUACAAAAUUAAGCAUUGCUUUGUCAUUGUCACAUUUUACUGAACACUCAGGACUGCAGACAGGCAAGUCCAUUACCCAUACUCUCUUCUUCCACACCACUGCCGUUGUAAUGUGUGCAGCUUGUGGUUUUGCAUUGUCUUACUGAAAAAUUAAUAGAAAUUCCUGGAAAAGUUCUCAUCUUGAUGGGAGCUCUAAGAUCCUGAUGUACUUAUUCUGCAUUUAUUUAUUUAUUUGCAUUUUCUAUACUGGACCAACUUUCUUGAUGUGAGACCUUCUUUUGUUUGCCUGAUUUAGGUGUCAUUUAGUCUACAAUGCUGUGAAAAACGAUUUGCCCCUGACAGAUUCCUUUAGUUUUUGCUUUUUUAUCAGUUACUUUUUCAGAUUAACAAACACAUUUUAACAUCAGACAAACAUAACAUAAGUAAAUACAAAAAUAUUUUUUAACUAUUCAAACCAACCUGGCAGCAACUGCAGUCAAGCUUUACUGAUAACUGACAAUGAGUCUUUCACAUCUCUGUGGAGGAAUUUAUUUCAACUCUUCUUUACAGAAUUGUUUUAAUUCAGACACAUUGGAGGGUUUUCCAGCAUCUUUUUAAGACCAUCCACAGCAUCUCAAUAAGACUUUGACCACUGGACAUUCUCCUUUAGAAUUGUCUGGUAAAAAGCAUAAUUCCUGGUCUUUUUACCUUCAAACUCUCCCAUGGAGACCAUUUUCACCCGGUCUCUUUCUGAUUAUUGAAUCAUUAACACUGAUAUUAACUGAGGUAAGACCUGCAGUUCUUUAAAUGUUGUUCUGGGUCUUUUUUGACUUCCUGGAUGAGUUGUUCAUGCCCUUUUGGAGUAAUUUCGGUUGGCAGUCACUCCUGGGAAGGUUCACCAGUGUUCCAUGUUUUGUCCAUUAGUGAAUAACAGCUCUAGUAGUGAUUUCUUGAUUCCACAGGUCUGGGGGCGGGGUUUCAGAAAGUUUGUUUGACAAUCUGAAAAUUUUAAAUCUGUAAGGGGCAAAUAUUUUUUUCACUGCUAAUCAGUGUAUCAGUGUAUACAAUGCCAUUGAUCAUUUGUUCGCUAUGUAAGCCUUGUAGCUCUAGUGAAAAAAGUGUUAAAGUGUCGUUAAAAGUGAUUGUUGCUUAGUUUAACAUGUAAAUGACUUUAUGUUCCUCUAUUUUAUGCUGUUGCUGUGUAUUGUGUAAAAACACAUGAACAACCUUGUGUGAUUAGGCCAUCUGAGUGUGACGACUACAAAGCUAUAUAGUCAUAAUACAGACCAGGGCUAUAAUUUCAUCCAGUGUUUUUUUUUUUUUUUAAUCUGUUAUUGACUGAUUGUAUAAUAUUAUAGUAGCAUAGAAUUUCAGGGAUCAGAGAGGAAAAUCUGUGUUUACUGUAAAUUAAAUUAAUUAAUCAGUGCUGUGAUCUUUUAAAGUAUAUAUACGAUUCUUUAAUGGUAAGCAUUAAUGUGGUAUGUGUAAGGAAUCUGUUGCUUUUGUAACGUUACAAAAACUCCUGCACUGGAACUCCUGGUCAAAGGGUCCUAUCGUACACCUAUCGUACACACAAUGCUAUUUGCUAUCUUACACCCCAUCAGCAGUCUAUUUUUACCUGCGCUGUUAAAAUAGCAUCAGAGUUUAGGAAUACAUCUGAUAAACUGAUAGGUGUGGUGGUCUGGAAGUGAGGUGUGUGCAGGUAAAUGUCUGCAGAGCACAAACCCGACAUUUAACUCAACAAUAUACAGAAUAAAGGAUAAAAUAGCAUUACUGUUCCCUUAAGU